rnacentral:rRNA from 1 species
UACGAAGGGGGGCUAGCGUUGUUCGGAAUUACUGGGCGUAAAGGGCGCGUAGGCGGCCUUCUAAGUCGAACGUGAAAUCCCUGGGCUCAACCCAGGAACUGCGUCCGAUACUGGAAGGCUUGAAUCCGGGAGAGGGAUGCGGAAUUCCAGGUGUAGCGGUGAAAUGCGUAGAUAUCUGGAGGAACACCGGUGGCGAAGGCGGUUCUCUGGGCAUUACCUGACGCUGAGGAGCGAAAGCGUGGGGAGCGAACAGG